AGUCGACGGACUCAUAUUGAAACCUAGUGAUUUAUGAGUUAGUGGCGGACGGGUGAGUAACGCGUGGAAAACCUGCCGUAUACCGGGGGAUAACACUUAGAAAUAGGUGCUAAUACCGCAUAAGCGCACAGCUUCGCAUGAAGCAGUGUAAAAACUCCGGUGGUAUACGAUGGUUCCGCGUCUGAUUAGCUAGUUGGCGGGGUAACGGCCCACCAAGGCAGCGAUCAGUAGCCGGCCUGAGAGGGUGAACGGCCACAUUGGGACUGAGACACGGCCCAAACUCCUACGGGAGGCAGCAGUGGGGAAUAUUGCACAAUGGGGGAAACCCUGAUGCAGCGACGCCGCGUGAGUGAAGAAGUAUUUCGGUACGUAAAGCUCUAUCAGCAGGGAAGAAAAUGACGGUACCUGACUAAGAAGCCCCGGCUAACUACGUGCCAGCAGCCGCGGUAAUACGUAGGGGGCAAGCGUUAUCCGGAUUUACUGGGUGUAAAGGGAGCGUAGACGGCAGCGCAAGUCUGGAGUGAAAUGCCGGGGCCCAACCCCGGAACUGCUUUGGAAACUGUGCAGCUUGAGUGCGGGAGAGGUAAGUGGAAUUCCUAGUGUAGCGGUGAAAUGCGUAGAUAUUAGGAGGAACACCAGUGGCGAAGGCGGCUUACUGGACCGUAACUGACGUUGAGGCUCGAAAGCGUGGGGAGCAAACAGGAUUAGAUACCCUGGUAGUCCACGCCGUANACGAUGAUUACUAGGUGUCGNGGGACCAAGGUCCUCCGGUGCCGGCGCAAACGCAUUAAGUAAUC
rnacentral:rRNA from 1 species